rnacentral:misc_RNA from 1 species
GAUGAAGAACGCAGCGAAAUGCGAUAAGUAAUGUGAAUUGCAGAAUUCAGUGAAUCAUCGAAUCUUUGAACGCACAUUGCGCCCGCCAGUAUUCUGGCGGGCAUGCCUGUUCGAGCGUCAUUUCAACCAUCAAGCCCCAGGCUUGUGUUGGGGACCUGCGGCUGCCGCAGGCCCUGAAAACCAGUGGCGGGCUCGCUGUCACACCGGGCGUAGUAGAUUUUAUCUCGCUCAGGGCGUGCUGCGGGUUCCGGCCGUUAAAAAGCCUUUUUUACCCAAGGUUGACCUCGGAUCAGGUAGGAAGACCCGCUGAACUUAAGCAUAUCAAUAAGCGGAGGG